UCGAUGCAAUCAAAGGCUUUUCUGUAGUCAAUAAAGCACAUAUUGAGUUCUUUCUGGUAUUCUUUGGCUUUCUCAGUUAUCCAGGGUGCUUCAGCAAUGAUGUCUCUUGUUCCUCAGCCUUUUCUGAAACCAGCUUGAACAUCCGGCAUUUCCCUUUCUACGUAGGGCUCUAUUCUGCAUUGGAUGAUCCUGAGCAUUAUUUUGUUAGCAUGUGCUAUUAAGGAUAUUGCGCGAUGGUCUUCGCAAUCUGUUAAGUCUCUUUUCUUUAGUAGGGGUAUGUAGACUGACCUCUUCCAAUCUGUUGGUCUCUAGGCAUCUUAGAGUUCUUAGAUCUCCUUGGGGACAGAAUCCAGCUGCAGGACUUCUGCGGAUUCCGAGGUGGCUUGGAUGUUACGAGAGGUCAGACAGGAACAGAGUCUGUCUGCACCAAUUUCCGUGGCAAGGAGAUCAUGUUCCAUGUCUCUACAAAGCUACCCUUCACAGAGGGAGAUGCCCAGCAGCUUCAGCGGAAGCGCCACAUUGGGAACGAUAUUGUGGCCAUUGUCUUCCAGGAUGAAAAUACUCCCUUUGUCCCUGACAUGAUUGCCUCCAAUUUCCUGCAUGCCUAUGUGGUAGUGCAGCUUCAUCACCAUGCCCUUGGGGAGACUCUCUACAAGGAGCGGACCCGCAGUGCUCUUCUCGAGAGUCUUUAUGAGGAGCUGCAGAUCCGGAGACGCAGUAUGAUGGACUUGGCUUCUGGAGAUGAUGACAAGAUAGAGAAUGGGGGUGGUGGCUUCUUUGAGAAUUUGAAGCAGAAUCUCCUCCAGCCAGACAUCCGGGUAUUGUGUGAUGCAGCCCCUGUCCCACUCCUCAUCCAAUGUGAGCAGCUGUUGCAGAAGAAGUUGAUGUGUUCCCUUGAAGGUCCCCAGAAGCAGGACACGCUGGCUCAGAGUGCGUGGUUGGACGAUAAUGUCUGUACACCCAGCAGUACCAGCUCACCAGUAACUCGGCUGCUCCCUUCCGGCAGCGGUGCAGGCUCUAUGGAGAAGGGGAAAGGUGGCAAAGUGGAUGCUCAGCGUUACAGCCCAGCCUCCAUUUUGUGCUGUGUGUGAUAUCAUCGCUGGAGGGGUGUCUCAGUGCAUGCUGAGUAACGCACAGGAAGCCAGCACAGAUGUAGUGGAACAUGAGCAUAAAAGAAAGUAUCACUACCAUGUUUUUGGAGAAGUUUACCAGGUCCAAAGAAGAGAAACCUGAGCUACUAACUAUUUAUUCCAUGUUAUCCAUGUUCAAGACCGUGUUCCAAAUGACUGGUAUAUGAAUGAGAUUUUCUCAAUCAAUGUUUGCUGGAGAAAACUGCUCAGAAAUUUCUGGUGGGAGCAAAAGGGGUUGAUUUCUGCCAUCCCUGGAGCCAUUCCCAUCACUGAAUGAGAGAGAGGAGCUGGGAGAGGAGCUGCUUCCUUCUCGCCUCUGCUUUCCUCUGCCGGGAUUAGCAGAAAGGUUGAUCUCCAGAUGAUGCAGUUAAGGGCUUCAAGGACACCAGCAGGCCUUUCUCUCCUGGGCGCCUUCAGCAUCGUGCCAGGUGCAGGAUAAAGAUCAUGAUGGAAGGCCUGGUCUCCGCUUGGCCUAGCAGCCUUCCCUGAGCUGGGCCUGUGCCAAAGUAAAAGUGCCCAGGAGGAGGAGUGGGAAUCGGAAAAGAAUGAAGGCAAAGCAAGCAAUGGAGGAUCCUGAUAGCUGUGUCUCCUGAUCCAUACUACAGUCCUGUAAGUGUUGAAGAACCUCUUGAAUUUGUCUUCCCAGAAGAUGGAGAGGUAAGUCUGACUCCUACCACCUCCAGAGGCCAGACUGUCAGAGAGCUACAUAGGAAAAGACAGCAGUCCACAGAUAUCAAAGCAAAGAAGAGCUUCCCUUUCAACAUCUAACAAAGGAUCCCAUCCUGCUUCUGACGCACUGUUAUCAACGCGAGUGCUGAGGGUUGCCUCGGCCGGGUAAAUAUGCAUUGACACAAUGACAAAUCUCUCCGGUGGCUGAGCGGAAUGGUGGGCCCUAGAGAAGGCAGGAAGAGGCUGAGGAGAGCAACCCCACAACAGAUGCCCAUUCCCUUUUUGACUAGGUUUGCAAAAGCCUCGUGUACACUCAAGGUCAUGAGGCUUUUGCAAAGCGGGGGCUUAGUUUCCCGGGAAACGACUUCACCCCAGGAGUGGAAUCCACACCUUAGUUUACAGAGCUCCCUUCAAACUAGUUACUGAAGUUGCAGCCCAGGUUUGCACCAGUUCCCUCUGUCCCAUCUCUUGAUUCCGAGUCUGGGUGCCCAACCCCCCCCCCUUCCCCUGGCUCCGCAUCCAGUGCGGGGUGCAAAUGUCACGUCCAGUCCUGGCAGGGUGCAAGAAACAAGGCUGGACCCCACAGUGAACCAGUCUGUAGGGCCAAGCAGGGGGGCAGAGGGUGCGCUAGUAAAAGCGAUCCCCGCCCUCUCUUGGCCUUCUGCAGGGACACCUCGGCAUCCACUCACCCCCCUCAGGUGACAGUGUGGGAUUAGCCGGUCGCCAUUUGGGGCAGAGUAGGAAUUUUCCCCAUCCACCCGGAUUGGCCUGGAGGUGGCUGGUUUUUUGCCUACUCUGCACUGUUGCACUGGAAGGGAUUUUUGAUCUGGCGGAUGUUAGGAGUGGUGCCGCUAAAUAGCGUAGCCCUUUGGUCACCAUGGCAGGUCCGAGGAGGGGAUGUAGUGCCCCACCCCAUUGGUGGCAGGUGCGAUUUCCCCCAGCUACACUCUAGUUCUCUGCUAAAAUGAGUCAAUAAAGUGAUGGCCCUAGUUUCAACCCA